rnacentral:lncRNA from 1 species
UGACUCUUGGUAUCGGCUUUUUUAUGAAGAAUUGACAAAAAUCAUAAAUGUUCAGAAAACGAGACUAUCAAGUUUACAACUAUGUAACUCAGCAACGAAAAAUGAUAUAACAAUUCUUUGAUUCCCAUCUAAUAGUACAUCAAAAGCG